ACUGCUCAGUAACACGUGGACAACCUACCCUGAGGUCGGGGAUAAACCCGGGAAACUGGGUAUAAUACCCGAUAGAUCUAGAUCGCUGGAAUGCUUUUAGGUCUAAAGUUCCGACGCCUCAGGAUGGGUCUGCGGCCUAUCAGGGUAGUAGUGGGUGUAAAGUACCUACUAGCCCACGACGGGUACGGGUUGUGAGAGCAAGAGCCCGGAGAUGGAUUCUGAGACACGAAUCCAGGCCCUACGGGGUGCAGCAGGCGCGAAACCUUUACAAUGCUGGCAACAGCGAUAAGGGGACCUCGAGUGCUACGAUACAAUCGUGGCUGUCUAGUUGCCUAAAAAGCAAUUGAUAGCAAGGGCCGGGCAAGACCGGUGCCAGCCGCCGCGGUAACACCGGCGGCUCGAGUGGUAACCGCUAUUAUUGGGUCUAAAGGGUCUGUAGCCGGCUUAGUUAGUCUCUUGAGAAAUCUGGCCGCUCAACGGUCAGGCGUUCAGGGGAUACUGCUAAAGCUCGAGACCGGGAGAGGUGAGAGGUACUUCAGGGGUAGGGGUGAAAUCUUGUAAUCCUUGAAGGACCACCAGUGGCGAAGGCGUCUCACCAGAACGGAUCUGACGGCAAGGGACGAAAGCUAGGGGCACGAACCGGAUUAGAUACCCGGGUAGUCCUAGCCGUAAACGAUACUCGCUAGGUGUCGGCCACGGUGCGACCGUGGUCGGUGCCGUAGGGAAGCCGUGAAGCGAGCCACCUGGGAAGUACGGCCGCAAGGCUGAAACUUAAAGGAAUUGGCGGGGGAGCAC
rnacentral:rRNA from 1 species